rnacentral:ncRNA from 1 species
GAUAAAACGUUGAAGAAGAAGAGUACUUAUAGUUCGUAUGUAAAGAGAGUCUGUGGCUGGUGGAAACAGAUCCUACGCUAUAGGGAAUGGGCUUCUGAGUAGCUUUAUGAAAACAUAGUAGUAAGGCUCGGGUUUGUCCUACGUUACAGGAUUAGAGUGGCCGGAUUUCGGCAAACUUGGGUGGUACCGCGGAUACAUUACAUUAUUCGUCCCUUUU